UUUCAAGCACCCACAUGAAUACAUGUACUUCCUGUACCAUUUGUUUUGAACUUUGAAAGAAGCUAUAACAUCUGUUUCCCAAAUGUGUACAGAAUUUUAAGUUACCAAGCAUAUACCGUUUGUUCCUUUUUGUUGAUGGGCACCUGCCCCUACUCCUGUGGACUGACAGUGCCACGAAGUGGAGCUGAAGGAGAGGGGAUCACGAGCGGCGGCUGGGUGCAUCGGGAUUUGGCCGCUUUAGGGGAUCCCAGCUACCACCAAGUCAUCCUCGAGGAGCAUUUAGAGACAGGGAAGUUGGUCACCGGCCAUCUGGUGUAAGUUUGGACUACCAGGUGCACCGGGAUUUGGCCGCUUUAG
rnacentral:lncRNA from 1 species